GGAAAGGCACAUCAUAGAGGGUGAGAAUCCCGUCUGUGGUCCAGCUCUGCUCCUAUGUGAUACGUUUUCUAAGAGUCGGGUUGUUUGGGAUUGCAGCCCUAAAUGGGUGGUAAAUACCAUCUAAAGCUAAAUACUAGCGAGAGACCGAUAGCGAACAAGUACCGUGAGGGAAAGAUGAAAAGAACUUUGAAAAGAGAGUUAAACAGUACGUGAAAUUGUCAGAAGGGAACGGCUUGAAACCAGUCUUGCGUCUGGAAUUCAGCCUCUCUAACGAGGGGUGCAAUUCGCUAGAUGCAGGUCAGCGUCAGUUUGAGGAGGGGGAAAAAGACUAGAGAAGGUAGCCUUCGGGUGUUAUAGCUCUUGUUUCUACCCCUCUUUGGACUGAGGGCCGCGGCGUGAUACGGGGUUGAUGGGUUCCGGUGACCUACUGGUAAACUGCAUGCAGAUUGCUGGCAAGGCUCGCUUGAUUCCCUUCAGCUCCACACGUCUAGGAUGCUGACGAAAUGGUCUCAAACCACCCGUCUUGAAACACGGACCAAGGAGUCUAACGUAUAUGCGAGUGUAUGGGUGUCAAACCCCUGCGCGUAAUGAAAGUGAAACUGGUGUGAACCUUCGGGUGCAACAUCGACCGGUCUGGAUUUUUUUGAUAGAUCUGAGUAAGAGCAUAUACGCUAGGACCCGAAAGAUGGUGAACUAUGC
rnacentral:rRNA from 1 species